rnacentral:rRNA from 1 species
CUACGUGCCAGCAGCCGCGGUAAUACGGAAGGUCCGGGCGUUAUCCGGAUUUAUUGGGUUUAAAGGGAGCGUAGGCCGGAGAUUAAGUGUGUUGUGAAAUGUAGACGCUCAACGUCUGACUUGCAGCGCAUACUGGUUUCCUUGAGUACGCACAACGUUGGCGGAAUUCGUCGUGUAGCGGUGAAAUGCUUAGAUAUGACGAAGAACUCCGAUUGCGAAGGCAGCUGACGGGAGCGCAACUGACGCUUAAGCUCGAAGGUGCGGGUAUCAAACAGGAUUAGAUACCCUGGUAGUCCGCACAGUAAACGAUGGAUGCCCGCUGUUGGUACCUGGUAUCAGCGGCUAAGCGAAAGCAUUAAGCAUCCCACCUGGGGAGUACGCCGGCAACGGUGAAACUCAAAGGAAUUGACGGGGGCCCGCACAAGCGGAGGAACAUGUGGUUUAAUUCGAUGAUACGCGAGGAACCUUACCCGGGCUUGAA